rnacentral:SRP_RNA from 1 species
GCCAAGAAAGGUAGCGAUUGCUUGUGACCCAUGUGGGGCAUUAAGGUGGUCCGCAUGUCUGGUUUGGCGCUUGUGCUUGGUCCAGUGGGUUGCGUUUGCAUCCCGCCUAUUCUAAGUUACGAAGUGGGUAUGGGGCACUCAGGUGAAUUUUCUAGACAUCCUUGAAGCUGAAGGUUCGCUUCACAAAGUAGUUUAUUACCGUUCGCUUCCAACGGUGGGAGGAUCAAAGGUCGUUGAUCUUGUGGCCUUAUUAGGUCCAAGCUUCCUUGAUGACAUAACACCAUCUUU